UCUCUAAUGUUUAUCUUUCUUCUUCUUCUUCUUCUCAUAUUCAUCUCCUCAACAAUGUUCGACAGAGGUUACUUCUAUUGGGUACAUCUGCAUUUGAAACCCUAAAUCAUGUACCGUCGAGUGGUUGAAGAAGAGAAUAAUCAUAAGAAGAAACAGAUCUCCUAGGGUUUCUUAUCGUACUCGAUGAACGCUUUUGUACAAGCUCCUCUUAAUCGGUGACUCUGAGUUUGUUGAUUAGAAGCAACCUCUGCCGGACGGUUGUUGAGGAGAUGGAAUUGUGAAAGGUGAUACCAGGUGUGUUGAUAGGUGAUACCAGUACAAAAGUUUAGGACAUCACCAAGGUAACUUAAAUUGGUGUGAUUUAUUUUUUGGUAUUUCUAACGUUUUGAUUUACUGUUUAUUGGUGCAUUGAUUCAUUUGUAAUCCUUUGCAGAUCUCCCGUCAUCUCAA